GCGCUCUUGGUCAGUGCAGCGAAAAAGCUGAAAAUGCACUAAAUCUUUCGCACACAUGUCUCAGCUUGGCUGGAUCUCUUGUCCUACUGAAGACAAGUGGACUUUGUUAUAGGAAUAGUUCUCUAUUCUAUGUUCUGGUUGUAUGGGUGGUGAGGCCAUGUUUUGUUCUAGCCCUGGUACUGGGCCUCUUCCAUCAUCUCAGGGAAUUCUUUCCCCUUCUCUCGGACGCCUUUGCUUUGUUGGCAUUCCGAUGAGUCGACAUAUAGUCAACAAUGUAAUACACAUAUGCAUAUCAUCGAUUCUGUAAAUCGUUUUCUUGAUUCUCAAAUCUCGCUCAUACUCUUCCUCAUGAAAGUAUAAAAAUAACAUAGCGGAAGUGACUUGCCGCAAAAGACUGAUAGGGUCGCUACAUAGAUAUGGGAAAUUAGUAUCAAUGAGGACUAUUUCAUCAACAAUUGAAUAUAGAUCUGAUGAUCUAUCCAAGCAUUAUA
rnacentral:lncRNA from 1 species